CAUGUACCCACUGGAAGCUUUAGUUUGGUAUUUCACACCAUAAAAUACUUCAUGUUUCAAGUAGUCAAAUUUUAAAAAAUGGAAAAGAUUCCCAGGGGUUU